rnacentral:rRNA from 1 species
CCUACGGGACGCAGCAGUGAGGAAUAUUGGUCAAUGGGCGGAAGCCUGAACCAGCCAAGUAGCGUGCGGGAUGAAGGCCCUACGGGUCGUAAACCGCUUUUGCACGGGGAUAACACCCUCCACUUGUGGAGGUCUGCAGGUACCGUGCGAAUAAGGGCCGGCUAAUUCCGUGCCAGCAGCCGCGGUAAUACGGAAGGCCCGAGCGUUAUCCGGAUUCAUUGGGCUUAAAGGGAGCGUAGGCGGGCGUUCAAGUCAGCUGUAAAAUUGCGCGGCUCAACCGCGCCCCGCAGUUGAAACUGGACGCCUUGAGUUCACAACAGGCAGGCGGAAUUCGUGGGGUAGCGGUGAAAUGCAUAGAUAUCACGAGGAACCCCGAUUGCGAAGGCAGCCUGCCGGGGUGCGACUGACGCUGAGGCUCGAAGGUGCGGGUAUCAAACAGGAGUAGAUACCCCUGUAGUC